rnacentral:rRNA from 1 species
UACGGAAGGCAGCAGUGGGGAAUAUUGCACAAUGGGCGCAAGCCUGAUGCAGCCAUGCCGCGUGUAUGAAGAAGGCCUUCGGGUUGUAAAGUACUUUCAGUCGUGAGGAAGGUGUUAAGGUUAAUAACCUUAGCAAUUGACGUUAGCGACAGAAGAAGCACCGGCUAACUCCGUGCCAGCAGCCGCGGUAAUACGGAGGGUGCGAGCGUUAAUCGGAAUUACUGGGCGUAAAGGGCACGCAGGCGGUUAAUUAAGUUGGAUGUGAAAUCCCCGGGCUUAACCUGGGAAUGGCAUUCAAGACUGGUUAGCUAGAGUCUUGUAGAGGGGGUAGAAUUCCAUGUGUAGCGGUGAAAUGCGCAGAGAUGUGGAGGAAUACCGGGUGGCGAAGGCGGCCCCUGGACGAAAGACUGACGCUCAUGUGCGAAAGCGUGGGGAGCAAACAGGAUUAGAUAC